CUUGAGCCAUUUCCAGAUCAGAAAAACCCUCUCAGAAUCCGCCUCGUCAAUCGCUUCCCUUCUCCGGCAAAGGCUAAAGUUUUCGUGAUCGAGAGAAAUGGAUGCUUUGGAUUCGGUGUUUGAUCCUCUUAGAGACUUCGCAAAGGACAGCGUCCGUCUCGUCAAGAGAUGCCACAAGCCCGACCGCAAAGAAUUCUCGAAAGUAGCGGUUCGAACUGCGAUCGGGUUCGUGGUAAUGGGAUUUGUAGGGUUCUUCGUCAAGCUGAUUUUCAUCCCCAUCAACAACAUUAUCGUCGGAUCUGGUUGAUGCUGGUCAUCAGGACUGAUCUGCCUCGCUACCAUGGGAAUCACUAAUGCAGUGGGAUGCACCUCAAGUAGCAUAGAUGUUUUGUUGUUCGUUUUUCCAGUCUGAGUUAGGGUUCACAACAGUUAAAUUUCAAUAUUUGUACUGACUGUAUGUAGUUUUACCUUGGUCUACCCUUAUUUGUUAUGAUGAUGUUAGCUACCAUUAUAAAGUGAUCAAUCAAAUUUGUUUUGAACAUU